rnacentral:rRNA from 1 species
AAUGUAGAAUUUCGACAUAGAAUUAUUUUUUAUUAUUUGUUAGAAAAACAUUAUAACAAUUAGUAAAGGAGAUUAAAAAUUAUUAUAUAUGUUUGUAAAUAAGUACUGUGAAGGAAAAUAUUGACUUAUAAUUUAAAAUAAGAAGGACUUAAGUUCCGUACCUUUUGCAUCAUGGUUUAGCUAGAUCUCAUUUUAUUUAAAAUUUCUCGAAAUCUAAUGAGCUAUUUUUACUCGACAUCUUAGAGUUUAAUGGAACUAAUUGUAGCAAAAAUUUUUCCAGAAGUAAAGAUAGAAAUGAAAUUUUAUUCGUAUUGGAUGAUAGCUAGUUCUCUUUAAGGGUAUAUAAGUACUUCAAAUUAAUGUUAUAAGUGAUUGUAAGCACACAAUAAACUUAAUUUGGUUGAAUUUUUGAGGAUAAGCUCGAAAAUAUAAAAAUAUCUAAAAUGCACUUAAUUUCUUUAUUAAAUUUAAGCUUGAAAAUAGCUAUAAUAAUUGAUUUUGUUAUAAUUUCAUUGAGAAUUUAAUAGAAAAGAAUUAAUUUGCUUAAAUAAAUCAAGAGAGUGAAAUUUCUAAUUUAAGAAAAUUUGAACUUAUGCUAAAAUUAGUAUUUUUUAGACUAUAAAAUUUUAAAAUUUCAUGUUUUAAAAUUAAUCUUUCUAUUUUUUGGAAUAAACCAUAAAAAGGAACUCGGCAAAUCCAUAUUCUGCCUGUUUAACAAAAACAUGGCUCCUUGUAAAGAAAAUAAAUAAGGAGUCGGACCUGCCCAGUGAAGUUUUUUAACGGCCGCGGUACUCUGACCGUGCAAAGGUAGCACAAUCAUUUGCCUUAUAAUUGAAGGCUAGUAUGAAUGGUUUGACAAGAAUAUAGCUGUCUCUUUAUGGCUAUUUAGAAUUUUAUUUAUAGGUGAAGAAGCCUAUAUUUCAUUAAUAGACGAGAAGACCCUAUCGAGCUUCAAAUAAAUUAAUAGAUAUAAAUCAAUUAAAUAAUAACUAAAAUAAAAACUAUUAAAUAUUCUUAGUUAGUUGGGGCGACUGAGGAACAAUAAAAGCUUCCUUUAAGCAUUUUAAUAAACUAUACUAGUUUUAAUCCAAAAACUUUUUGAUCAAAGAAAUUAGCUACCGUAGGGAUAACAGCAUAAUCCCUUUUGAGAGUUCCUAUCGAAAAGGGGGUUUGUGACCUCGAUGUUGGACUAGAAUAUCCCAAAGAUGCAGCAGUCUUUAAAGGUUGGUCUGUUCGACCAUUAAAAUUCUACGUGAUCUGAGUUCAGACCGGCGUGAGCUAGGUCAGUUUCUAUCUUUAAUUUAAAAACGUAAACUCAGUACGAAAGGACCAGUUUGCUGUAUUAAUUUUACUUAUGUAGAUAAUAUAUAAUUCUAGUAUAUAUUU